AUUGAACGCUGGCGGCAUGCCUUACACAUGCAAGUCGAACGGUAACAGGUUAAGCUGACGAGUGGCGAACGGGUGAGUAAUAUAUCGGAACGUGCCCAGUCGUGGGGGAUAACUGCUCGAAAGAGCAGCUAAUACCGCAUACGACCUGAGGGUGAAAGCGGGGGAUCGCAAGACCUCGCGCGAUUGGAGCGGCCGAUAUCAGAUUAGGUAGUUGGUGGGGUAAAGGCCUACCAAGCCUACGAUCUGUAGCUGGUCUGAGGGGACGACCAGCCACACUGGGACUGAGACACGGCCCAGACUCCUACGGGAGGCAGCAGUGGGGAAUUUUGGACAAUGGACGCAAGUCUGAUCCAGCCAUGCCGCGUGCGGGAAGAAGGCCUUCGGGUUGUAAACCGCUUUUGUCAGGGAAGAAAAGGUUCUGGUUAAUACCUGGGACUCAUGACGGUACCUGAAGAAUAAGCACCGGCUAACUACGUGCCAGCAGCCGCCGUAACAC
rnacentral:rRNA from 1 species